rnacentral:tRNA from 1 species
CCUCCUUAACGAGAACUCAGUAGCCUCUCGGUAAAGUGCCUACCUCUAUUACUUGAUCCUGUAGAUUUUUAGAACAGUUAGUCUUAUAGAUGGGGCUAUAGCUCAGCUGGGAGAGCGCCUGGUUUGCAUCCAGGAGGUCUGCGGUUCGAUCCCGCAUAGCUCCACCAACUACUUUAGAGCAAAUUUCAAAGGGGUCAGAAUUUCACUCUGACCCCUUUGAAAUUCUGAAGACCGUUCUUUAACAAUUUGAUGAAUGAAGACAUAUAUAUGUUUGUUAUAUUGUGUUGGAUCGUGCGCGUUUGUGAUGAUCGCGUAGGUGAAGGCGCAGUACCAAUUUUAUGUAUGCUGUAAUUUUAACAAGUUAUACAAGUGCAAAAUCUGUACGAAAAAGUCGUUAUUAGUUGUUUGAAGUAUUCUGUGNUAGUUGUGAGUUUUUUUGGCUGAGAGGCCAUCUUUUGGGGACGGCAUUAAAGGGCUGUCCCCGAUCGAGCUAAGACAGAGCUUAUGAUUAUAUGGUC